rnacentral:rRNA from 1 species
UUCCAGUCCAAUAGCGUAUAUUAAAGUUGUUGCAGUUAAAAAGCUCGUAGUUGAAUUUCGGGGUUAGUAGGUUGGUCAUGCCUCCGGUAUGUACUGAUCUCACUGAUUCCUCCUUCCUUAUGAACCGUAAUGCCAUUAAUUUGGUGUUGCGGGGAAUUUGGACUGUUACUUUGAAAAAAUUAGAGUGUUUAAAGCAAGCUAACGCUUGAAUACAUUAGCAUGGAAUAAUGAAAUAGGACGUUCGAUCUUAUUUUGUUGGUUUCUAGGAUUGACGUAAUGAUUAAUAGGGAUAGUUGGGGGCAUUAGUAUUCAAUUGUCAGAGGUGAAAUUCUUGGAUUUAUUGAAGACUAACUACUGCGAAAGCAUUUGCCAAGGAUGUUUUCAUUAAUCAAGAACGAAAGUUAGGGGAUCGAAGACGAUCAGAUACCGUCGUAGUCUUAACCAUAAACUAUGCCGACUAGGGAUCGG